rnacentral:lncRNA from 1 species
UAAAUGCUAGGCAUUGUUUUAGCUAUAGGAGUUGCUGGUGGGCAAUUAGAGUGUACAGUAUCAAGUCCUAGUGUUUAUGCUUUUCCAGGGGGAGGAGGUGAGGGCUGCUGCCAGGAGGUACGGAGUCUGUACAAAUUAGAAAAUAGUGCCAUUGGGUGGAAGGACACACCCUAUUCAGGAUGAUGCAGCCCCAAGUCCUGGCACAAGUCCUGAUGAGUGGAAUGUGGGCCAUCCGACCCUUGCGGCUCUUCCUGUUGGCAGGGCCUGACCUGCCCAGGUAUGUGUGCAGGCCCUGGGGAAGCUAGACAAUGCACAGUGAAUAAGCAGAACACAUGGUAGUUCAAAGACGAUCGAGAACCCAAAGUGGUGCUAUGGGUAUGUGUGUGUUGGGGGGGUUGGUGAUCCCUUUUAAAACAUGGUGGUGAUGGGAGACAAAUAAUUGUGAUUAGCAAAAAGCUGAAAGAGAUGAAGGAUCAAGCCAUAAAGGUGUUUGGAGGAUGGGUUCCAGGGAGAGGGAACAGGAAGCAGAAAGUUCCCAAGACGACGCUGGCCUGGAAUAAUUGAAGGAACAGCAAAGGGGCAGGGGCAGAAUGGAGAGAAGGAGAUGAAUAAGGGAGGUAAUGGAUGCAUCCCUUUUGCCUAGGACAGUUCGGGUUUAUACAUGUUGUUCUAGAAUAAUUGUUAGUGGGCUCCCUUCCACACUCAAAAAUGUCCCCAAAUGAUGAAAACACUCAUAGAUUUUCUAAAAUAUAUAAUGUAUAGACUAGUAAGUUAUGAUACAGUGUUGAAAACAACCACUUAUUUGUAACUCCAGUAACUCAAUCUGAUGUUUCAGAUCCUGGUUACCUUGGUGGGAAGCCACUGGGGAUUGUGUUAGGAAGGGAAUGUGGAGCCACAAUUGGGUUGUGGGCUGCAGUAUGUGACUCUGGCCUAACAGGGUCAUUUGACAUGACUUUUGGGAGGGGGAGAAGAGCUAGGGGCUGUUUCCCCUAGAAUUAGGUUUCUGGUGCCUGGGUAGCUGGCCUGGUCCUCAGGAUGCUGUCUUGGGGCCAGCUCCUGAGGUCUCCUUCCAUACUCUGGGGUGCAUGUGGGCAUUCAACCCACCUCAAAAAUUGUUUGUUUCAUGAAGGCUGCAGCACUAACCAUGGGGGGAGGUGAGUGCAAUUUCAGUUGCCUCUGUUUUUAAUCAACCCCACCCUGCACUGCAUGGUGCUUGCUAUAUUUUGGAUCAUGCUAACUCUUUGUAUCAUAAACUCUUCUGUAAUACCUGGGGAUCAAAGGAUCACAUUGCAAAUGAUUUCUGGAAGAUCGCAAGUGGCAGAGAACUUUGAGCACUCAUCCAGGUUCUAGUAGCCUCAUUUACCCACAUGGAUGCGAUACUGAUCACGUUGAGCUUUAGACCUUAGAGAUCUGGGAGAGGAGCAGUGUGUUCUUAUCAGUUACCUGAAGAUAACUUGGGCUUAGGGCAAGAU